AACUAAACGCCGGGAAUUUGAGAUAGAAGGACCUCUCGAAAGAAACCACGAUGCAGGCAGCGAAACCUAGAGACCUAAUCGGUGAUAGUCUGAUCGUCGUAUAUCUUCUCGAUGAUUGAUUCUCAAAAUAUCUGGGGAUUCUAGCUCCGGAUUGAAGCAAUGGCUAAGAUCGAGGUGUUUGAUUGAAUGAUCUGGAGAGAGGAUCACAUUCUCCAGGGAGUCGCAUCCGUGUGCGUAGAGAUGCUCGAGGCUCUGUGGGAGAUCAUCUACUGAUUUAAGUUGCUUGCAGUUGUUGAGGCAGAGUGUUCCCAGAGAUGUAAGCUCUGUGAUGCUUUCAGGGAUUGCAUCAAAGUCGUUGCUGCUGAGGUUUAGAUAUGUUAAUCUAGUGAAAUGACUAAGCUGAUGUGAAAACGAUUGAAAUUUCCUGCAGUUGUCUAGCUCAAGCUCCAGCAAACUGUAUCUGCUUACUUCUUGAAUUGAAUGUGGAGGUUCCAGUAGUGAUUCGAGGCUGGAACAGCCGGAGAGGUUGAGACUCUGCAGCUCUGUUAGCGCCGGUAAUGCCUCGAGUUUGACGCAGUUGGAGAGCCUGGCGUGUUUCAACUUAGAGAGGUUCUUCGUUGAUGUUGGUAAAUUGAUGAAAUCGUUUCCGCUGAGGUCUAGUUUCUCUAGUGAAUGCAGUUGACCAAUGUCUUCUGGGAUUAUCUGGAUGUUUAAGUUGAUUAGGUUCAACUCUGUCAAGCAAGGGAAACCUGAGAAGCUAAUGCAACUGAAGGGUGCAUUAUCCUCGGUGUAGCUAAACCGCCUGAUGCUAAGCGAAUCGAAGUCAUGGAAGCUUGAGAUUGUCGGUGAUUGGUCCUUUGGCGUCAAUACCAAUUCAUCAGGGACUUGUUUCUCUGAUUUAAAAGAGAGGUGUUCUGCGUUACCCUUGAGAUGCCUUAACUCGAUGUUUAUUAUCCCCUCUAUGGACAUGUUUGCAAGAGAAGUUAGUGGCUUUACUGCUCCGGGAAGCGUCAAUAUGAUUUGCGGGCGUUGCCUGAGUCUGCUUGAUUCUGGAAGGACUGUCGUUUCUGAUAUAUAGGUUUGAAGAUUCAUUAAGCCGUCACACUGUGAUAAAUCAAGUUUUCGUAGGCAAGAUAAGAGACCAAUGGACUCCGGAAUUUGCCUCAGUCUUGUGCAGCCUUUCAUUAUCAACUCCUCUAGUGACGUGGCCCUUGAAAGAUCUGGAAUUUCGGUCAGAUUCUUUGAGCCAGUAACAUCUAGUCUCUUCAAUUUGCCAAGUCCCUGAGAAUAUAAGAAGAAAAAGACAAAUCAGUGAGAGUUUUUAAUAUAUCUUGAAACCUUUUGAUUGCUUUAUCAGUCUCAACAACAACACACUACACUAGCUUACCAGGAUUCCAUCCCAGAGCCGCACGAGAUUGCUGUAACGCAGAUUAAGGUCAAUGAGACUAAAAGGAUAGUAAUCAGAAGGCAGAGUCGUCAUUGGAUAAGCAUCCCAGUGUAGUAAUCUGAGUGUUUUGGGAAGAUUAUCAGUGCCUGGAAAGAACUUUAACGUGGACUCUAUAUCAUUCAAAUGGGUGAAGGCCUUGAAGUAUUUGAGAUUGUUGAUUGCAUUAAGAAUGCCACCGUCAAUAAACACCAUGCGAGGCAUAUCACACAUGUGUAGUGAUACACCUUCAGUUGUUGCUAUACCCUGAGAUGAGAUUCACCAGAGUCACUUGACAGUAAGACAAUCACAGAAACAAUGUCCUCGGGUUCCCACAAGAUUCUUUGCCUCCAAAGCUUGGACUUGGAUUCUUGGAGCACAAUUUCCCUCCCCGCUUGCUCUACCAAGCCAUGCAUUGUGAUGCAUCCAUCAGGUGAUAUAUCGAUGAGGGACUUCUCUUUUAAACCUUUGAUCCGUGUGCCACCAUGAUCAAAUAGCGUAGCUACACGAUGGAAAUUGUCUCCGUUGAAGAGACAUGCAAGGUGAAGGAACACAGCCUGGUCUCGCUUGUCUAAACUUUCAUAGCUAGUUUUCACAAUUUCCAUGAUACUUUGGGGAGGGAAUUUUUCAAGAAUAUCCAGUGCACUUUCCCACGCCUCUGUAGAGGUCUUUUGACGGAGAUAUGUGCCGAAAACAUCUAGCGCUGAAGGAAGCCCUUGAGCAAGCUUAGAAGCACGGAUUGACAGUUGUUCGUAGACAUCAGAAGGAGGUCGUCCUCCGUCAAAAGCAACUUGUUUGAAGACUCGGAUCGAAUCUUCAUGUCCCAGAAGGUUAACAUGGUUUACAAAUCUCAGCUCAUAGAAGUUGAGCAAGCUCAAAUCUCGUGUAGUUAUAAUGAUUCGGCUCCCUGGUCCAAACCAGCUACUCUCUUUUGCCAGAGCACGAAGCUGUUCCACGUUGUCCACAUCGUCAAGGACAAGGAGAACUUUGAGUUUCUUAAGUUUUGACAUGAUAAGAGUGCAUCCCUUCUCCUUAUCCGAGAUGCUUGCUUGCUUUUUUCCCAGGAUCUUAGAAAGAAGCUCUCUUUGUAAACCGGGGAGGCCAUUCUUUCCAGCAUUUCUAACGUUCUCUAUGAAGCAAAAGCGACGGCCAAACCGAGGUGAGUAUUUGUUAUAGAGACACUUGGCAAUUGUGGUUUUGCCUAUGCCUCCCAUUCCCCAAAGUCCUAUCAUCCGAACCUCAUUCGUUGUCGAGUCCAUAUCCAACAGAGGUUCGAUUUGUUCCAUGUGGGCGUCCAUUCCAAAAGUAUCACUCAUCUCUAGUGGCUGCAUUGAGGCUAGCUCUCUUGCAAUGUGCUCAACAAUAUCGUCAACCAUUGUGGCCUCGUCCUUGCUAACAUGGAAGACAAAACACACAUAAAAACAGAGAAGCAUUUUGCUUUGGAUAGGUUGAACUUCUACAAGGGAAGAAUAUAGACUGAUGAAGCAAAGAUAAUUGCUGCUGGUAUUUGAGUUAAAAUUCGUUUGUAAACUAUGUUAGUAACUAAGUAAAGAUGCAAUAUGAAAGAUAAGAAUGCAUAAAGAAGGUGGAACACCAUGUUCAAUGCAGGUACCAACUACCAAAGAAGAACUAAGAAGGAGGUUGCCGAUACAUUUCACCAAAUGAGAGGUUAUAUUCACCUACUAACAACUUAUCCUACAUCAUUUUGUCUUUAUAUAACCUUUAUGUUCGUACUUUGUCACUGAGAAAUGGAAAACUCACCAGACUCUAGAA